GACGAACGCUGGCGGCGUGCCUAAUACAUGCAAGUCGAGCGAAUCAAUAGGAGCUUGCUCCUGUUGGUUAGCGGCGGACGGGUGAGUAACACGUGGGCAACCUGCCUGUAAGACUGGGAUAACACCGGGAAACCGGUGCUAAUACCGGAUAAUCCUUUUCCUCUCAUGAGGAAAAGCUGAAAGUCGGUUUCGGCUGACACUUACAGAUGGGCCCGCGGCGCGUUAGCUAGUUGGUGAGGUAACGGCUCACCAAGGCGCCGAUGCGUAGCCGACCUGAGAGGGUGAUCGGCCACACUGGGACUGAGACACGGCCCAGACUCCUACGGGAGGCAGCAGUAGGGAAUCUUCCACAAUGGACGAAAGUCUGAUGGAGCAACGCCGCGUGAGCGAUGAAGGCCUUCGGGUCGUAAAGCUCUGUUGUUAGGGAAGAACAAGUACCGGAGUAACUGCCGGUACCUUGACGGUACCUAACCAGAAAGCCACGGCUAACUACGUGCCAGCAGCCGCCGUAAAAC
rnacentral:rRNA from 1 species